GAAGGACCUGCUUGUCUCGAGUGAAGACUAGCACUCCGGCAAAACCUCGUGGCAGCGCUGGGAAAAUCGCACGUGCAGAUACCGCCAGAAACCCAGCCGCUCUCCCUCGCUGCUCCCUGCUAGCCUCUCAUCCUCAGUGGCCGCCAUGCUGCUCCGGAAGAGACGUCCGCCUCGACC
rnacentral:antisense_RNA from 1 species